rnacentral:rRNA from 1 species
UUCCGUAGGGUGAACCUGCGGAGGGAUCAUUACACAACAAAAAUAUGAGGGUGUGGUUUGCUGGCAACAGCGUCCGCCCCAAGUAUUUUUCACCCAUGUCUUUUGCGCACUUUUUGUUUCCUGGGCGAGUUCGCUCGCCACCAGGACCCAACCAUAAACCUUUUUUUAUGCAGUUGCAAUCAGCGUCAGUAUAAUAAUUCAAUUUAUUAAAACUUUCAACAACGGAUCUCUUGGUUCUGGCAUCGAUGAAGAACGCAGCGAAAUGCGAUACGUAGUGUGAAUUGCAGAAUUCAGUGAAUCAUCGAAUCUUUGAACGCACAUUGCGCCCUUUGGUAUUCCAAAGGGCAUGCCUGUUCGAGCGUCAUUUGUACCCUCAAGCUUUGCUUGGUGUUGGGCGUCUUUUUGUCUCUCCCCUUGUUGGGGGAGACUCGCCUUAAAACGAUUGGCAGCCGACCUACUGGUUUUCGGAGCGCAGCACAAAUUUGCGCCUUCCAAUCCACGGGGCGGCAUCCAGCAAGCCUUUGUUUUCUAUAACAAAUCCACAUUUUGACCUCGGAUCAGGUAGGGAUACCCGCUGAACUUAAGCAUAUCAAUAAG